rnacentral:rRNA from 1 species
UACGGGGGGGGCAAGCGUUGUUCGGAAUUACUGGGCGUAAAGGGCUCGUAGGCGGCCAACUAAGUUGGAUGUGAAAUCCCCAGGCUUAACCUGGGAACUGCAUCCGAUACUGGAUGGCUUGAAUCCGGGAGAGGGAUGCAGAAUUCCAGGUGUAGCGGUGAAAUGCGUAGAUAUCUGGAGGAAUACCGGUGGCGAAGGCGGCAUCCUGGACCGGCAUUGACGCUGAUGAGCGAAAGCUAGGGGAGCAAACGGG